GCCUUAUUGACUCAGGGGCAGAGCGUCUUUCUAGUAAAGAGGAGGUCUCUGCUUUGAUUCCAGCAUGAGGCA
rnacentral:tRNA from 1 species